UUAAAAUAAAUGAAAAGAAGUCAUCUGGUAUGGAUCAAAAGGAAAAAACUCAAUACAUUUAUGUUCGUGUUAAGUCUGUUGGGCAACUGACGUUACCAUAUUGUUAUUCGCCAUAAAGGAUGCAGAGAUUUACAGAGCAGGGGAGGUGGC